CUCCUCACUAAACAAUAUUCAGAAAGACAUGCAGACAAAACACCCAUCACACCUUAGUAUCAGGAACUACCUUGAUGAGGUGAAGCUACCCAAUCUCACGCCUCAACAACAGUCGGCCCUUACUGAACCGAUAGAGGCCCAGGAGAUCAGGGACCUAAUUAGAAGCCUUCCGUCGGGAAAAUCCCCAAUAGCGGAUGGGUUUGACAAUCAGUACUAUAAGC